UUAGUUCGUCCUAAGUCAAACUUGUCUAACUUUAACCAAGUUUAUAGAAAAAUAUAACAACAACUAUAGCACCACAUAUAUGUAUUAUCAAAAUAUAUUUUGUGGUGAAUUCAAUGAAACAAAUUUGGUAUUGUAGAUGUUGUUAAAUUUUUCUAUAAACUUGGUCAAACGUAGACAAGUUUAACUUAGAACAAACCAAA
rnacentral:pre_miRNA from 1 species